CCCUGUGAAAGUGAUGCGCGCCAGUCAUCUUUGGGCCACAACUAGCGGUUUCACGACUUUGCAUUGGGUCAAUGCGCACCACGCGCACCUAUGGCUCCCGGCAAAGGAUUCUGGUUAGCAAUCUCUUGGGGGAAGAGGACCAUUCCAGCCCCAGACUGUGCAACUCUGCCGGGUAGAAGUGGAACACCCACUUCUGCCCAAUCUAUGCUCCUGAAAGGAAUCGCGCUCGUUCCACACCACAAGCCUGGCUUGUAGCUUUCCCUUACCAUGCACCACCCGAAUACAGAAUUCAAUUCUUAGGCUGAAAGAGCAGCGCGUCCCCUCCUUGUCCAGGGCUAGGGCAUUUUAAGAAGGGAUCUUCCCAUAUCUCUUAAGCCAAGUAGGGUUCUUUAGGAACUUUUGCGAUAGUAGUGUGUGUGUGUGUGUGUGUGUGUGUGUGUGUGUGUGUGUGUGUUAAAUAACCAAAUCGCCGGUCGGCUUACAGCUGGAAGCCAGUUAUUUAAGCUUGCUGAGCCUCCUUUCUAACGGAUCAGCUCUAGCUGUGUGAGGGAUAAGUUGACGAAUGAAGAAAAAACAUGAUUAUCUCAAGUGACUCGCACAUCCCGUUUUCCGUUGCACAAAUAAAAGUCUGUGUCUUGGGCCCAGUUGCAAGCCUGCCCACGCGGGCCAGGCUUUGAUAUUUAAACCAGGCCGGGUGAAACUACAGGUUGGGGCACUCCGCAACUUAGGCAUCCUAUCCUCCUCCCCCUAAGCAGUCGGAGAAGAGGUUUGACUGCUCAAAGGGUGGCCAGAGACAGAGACGGGACACUGGCCGAAGGGGAGCAAGUGGUGGUGGCAGCUGAGCCCGGCGAUGCCUGGGGAGCUGCACCGGCUCAUCAGUCUCGUUCUCCAGAAACUAAAAACAGUCUCAAGCCGCUGCACACUGCCGAACGUCGGCACGAUUCUCUAAGUUCGGAAACCACGAAGCAGUGUGGUGGAUUCGCACGACCAGAGCGUGUCAUUCUCUCAAAAACAAAGAGCUGGGUGCCGCUUGCUCGACUCCUGCCCCCACCGUGCGCUCCAAACAGCGCGUUUCUCCCCAUGCGGAAAUUCGCUCAACUUCUCCAAGUACGAGCUAGAGCAGGCGGUGGAAGCCAGCCGUUCACGAGAGCUGCUCCGAGCUCCCACUUGGCUGGAAGGGCGUCACUGCUCCAGCGCCUUCUUAACUCAGCCGCAGAAGAACGCUCGGCUAAAAAGGACACAGUGAGCCUGUGGAGAACGUUUUUAGAAGCUGGGGGACUGGAAGGCUCGCGUAUCCCACAAACUUGUGGGGAAGACCGUUGGGGCUGAAGUUUCACUCGGAAAGGGCAGUCCCGCUCUGGUGCACGUUCCCCAGGCUUCGGGCAGCCAACCCGGUGUGACGCUGCUAGAGGCUUGGGAGCGCAGGCUCUCCGUCAAGUGUCUCUGAUGUGGCUUCCUAUUUUUUUUGACAGCGAACCCCACUGGGUUUGGAGAGCAUCGAUAUUUGGAAGAGCCCCCAUCGGGGGUCUUCUUGGAGCAUCAGAGGAGAUAGAGCAACUUUCGGUGCGGCUGGGGAACUGCCGCUUUUAGUUUACUAAGGCCAUGCGUCUCUAUCCCUCAGCCACCUACUAUUCGGCUCCAAACGAAAUAGGAACAGAUGUUAGGAAACUGGGGGGAAGGAAGCGGGUAAACCUCAAGUUAUUGAGGACACUCCUUUUAAUAGUGGAGCUACGCCGACCCGAGAGACAUUAGACUUCAUCACGCAGGAAUGGUGGAGGAGGCUGGGACUGGAAACUACAAGACUCUCAGGGCGUUCCUGUCCUCUGGAGAUGACUGUGGUGACAAGUGUACCAGAGAAACAGCUGAAGCCUUUUCCCGCCUCCCCCCAAAGCUGAUGACCUUACACAAUACUCGCACAUCAUUUGUUCCCUAACUUUCUGUACUUGUCUUGGAGCUUGCUCAGCUGUCUCUGAAUGACCCUCUCUCGGCACAGACUACAUGGCAGUUUCUCCCUGGAAGCAUCCUGUCUGCUCAGCCCAAGCUUGAGAGCCUCCUCCUGCAGAGUGAGCAGGACUAAAGUGGAGACAGCAUCUCAGGCAGUGUGGGGUGCUGUGCAGCUUGUCUCGACUUUCCCACAGCUUUCCAAAUCAACUGGCCUCUGACUUGUCAUUUUUGAAGAAACUGAGGUGCAGAGAAAGGAUUUGACGUGAGGAUGUGGAAGGAGCUGGGAGCAGGGUCUGCAGCGGCCUCUGGAUGUCUUGAGUUUGGAGUCCAUUUGCUCAGUUCGAAGGAGGUACAAUAGCUAACAAUGAACUACUGUUCAUAUCUCUCACUAAACAGAGAACUCAAUGGUCUACACUGGCUGCCCAAAGAACUCUGGAGAUCUUCCUCUCUCUACCCUUCCCCCAGCACUGAGAUUACAGACACAUCAGCACAGAAGACCUUCAUAUGGGUACUGGGGAUUUGAAAUCAGAUUCACAUGCUUCUGUGGCAGGCCCACAGGACACACAGGAUGAUACUUCCACGUCUCAUGCCAGGGCAGAGUGAGGCUCUCAUGGGCCUGUAUCAGAGAGGCUGCUUCCCCCACCUCUUCCCUGUAAAUUUCCCAAAGUCUCUAACUCUGAUUCAUUUUCAUUCUUCGCUGCAGUGUGUGUUCACAGAGCCCUUGGAAGAAGACUUUGAUUGCUAAAAGUUGUGAGCCUGUGGCGGGCAAGGCCUGUACUUGGUGCAGCAAAGGAAAUUCCAUCACACCUGCUCCUCAGUCUAGGAUCCCAAGUUAGCCAGCUCCCACUUUGCCCCAAGAGAUAGCCUCUCUCCUCCUAUUACCAAGAAACAGUAGAAUUUCAGGAAAGGGAUGAUCCCAUAUUUAAGAGGCUUGAAAUUGUAUGCAUGACAUUUCUGAGUUAAGUUCUAAAAUACAGUCCCCUUAAUCAUAGGAAAAAUAAGAAAUGUAGUUAAAACUUAUUUAAAAAACAUUGCACUAGGAGAAAUGAAAAAUUAUGUUGACAUAAAACAUGUAUAAAACUAUUCAUGGCAUCAGCAGGGCUGGGAUAUAGCUCAGUCAUGGAGGGCUUGCAGAGCAAUGUGCAUGGUCCCAGGUUCAAUCCCCAGCCCUGGGAUAGAAAAGUAGGAGGGGAGGAGGUAUUCACAGCAGCAUUUCCAAUAUCUACAGAAAAGAGAAACAAUUCAAACACCUACAAAUGAAAGGAUAAAUAUAAAAUGCCAUAGCUAUAUGAUGGGAUACUAGUCAGCAGUAGAAAAGUAUGAAGUGAUAGAGAUGACAGUAUGGAUGACUUUUUUAACAUCUUCCUAAGUAACAGAAGCCAAUCACAAGAGAAGGCACCCACUCCAUAUUUCUGGAGUAUAUAGGCAUAUCUAUAUAUAGAGAAAGCAGAACAGUGGUUGGCUAGAACUUGGAGAGGGGGCCUGGACUUGGGGAGACAGCAGAGAGGUGCAGCAUUUCUAUGAAUGGAGAUAAAAAUAUUCUUGAAUUAAUUGAAGUGAUGGUUGGGCCACUUGAUAACUGCAUUUUAAAACCACUGAAUUUUACUUGCAAGUGGGGGAAUUGCAUGGUACGUUGAUUAUAUCUCAAUAAAGCCUUUAAUAUAUUUUAUUAAAAUAAUAUAAUAAUAUAAAAGAUACUUUAAGACCUG